CCAGACUCCUACGGGAGGCAGCAGUGGGGAAUAUUGGGCAAUGGAGGCAACUCUGACCCAGCAACGCCGCGUGAAUGAUGAAGGUCUUCGGAUUGUAAAGUUCUUUUCUAAGGGAAGAAGAAAGUGACGGUACCUUAGGAAUAAGCCUCGGCUAACUACGUGCCAGCAGCCGCGGUAAUACGUAGGGGGCAAGCGUUAUCCGGAAUUACUGGGUGUAAAGGGAGCGUAGACGGUGAUGCAAGUCUGGAGUGAAAGGCGGGGGCCCAACCCCCGGACUGCUCUGGAAACUGUGUAACUUGAGUGCAGGAGAGGUAAGCGGAAUUCCUAGUGUAGCGGUGAAAUGCGUAGAUAUUAGGAGGAACACCAGUGGCGAAGGCGGCUUACUGGACUGUAACUGACGUUGAGGCUCGAAAGCGUGGGGAGCAAACAGGAUUAGAUACCCCAGUA
rnacentral:rRNA from 1 species